AAAUUGAAGAGUUUGAUCAUGGCUCAGAUUGAACGCUGGCGGCAGGCCUAACACAUGCAAGUCGAGCGGUAGCACAGAGAGCUUGCUCUCGGGUGACGAGCGGCGGACGGGUGAGUAAUGUCUGGGAAACUGCCUGAUGGAGGGGGAUAACUACUGGAAACGGUAGCUAAUACCGCAUAAUGUCGCAAGACCAAAGUGGGGGACCUUCGGGCCUCAUGCCAUCAGAUGUGCCCAGAUGGGAUUAGCUAGUAGGUGGGGUAACGGCUCACCUAGGCGACGAUCCCUAGCUGGUCUGAGAGGAUGACCAGCCACACUGGAACUGAGACACGGUCCAGACUCCUACGGGAGGCAGCAGUGGGGAAUAUUGCACAAUGGGCGCAAGCCUGAUGCAGCCAUGCCGCGUGUGUGAAGAAGGCCUUCGGGUUGUAAAGCACUUUCAGCGGGGAGGAAGGCGUUAAGGUUAAUAACCUUGGCGAUUGACGUUACCCGCAGAAGAAGCACCGGCUAACUCCGUGCCAGCAGCCGCGGUAAUACGGAGGGUGCAAGCGUUAAUCGGAAUUACUGGGCGUAAAGCGCACGCAGGCGGUCUGUCAAGUCGGAUGUGAAAUCCCCGGGCUCAACCUGGGAACUGCAUUCGAAACUGGCAGGCUAGAGUCUUGUAGAGGGGGGUAGAAUUCCAGGUGUAGCGGUGAAAUGCGUAGAGAUCUGGAGGAAUACCGGUGGCGAAGGCGGCCCCCUGGACAAAGACUGACGCUCAGGUGCGAAAGCGUGGGGAGCAAACAGGAUUAGAUACCCUGGUAGUCCACGCCGUAAACGAUGUCGAUUUGGAGGUUGUGCCCUUGAGGCGUGGCUUCCGGAGCUAACGCGUUAAAUCGACCGCCUGGGGAGUACGGCCGCAAGGUUAAAACUCAAAUGAAUUGACGGGGGCCCGCACAAGCGGUGGAGCAUGUGGUUUAAUUCGAUGCAACGCGAAGAACCUUACCUGGUCUUGACAUCCACAGAACUUUCCAGAGAUGGAUUGGUGCCUUCGGGAACUGUGAGACAGGUGCUGCAUGGCUGUCGUCAGCUCGUGUUGUGAAAUGUUGGGUUAAGUCCCGCAACGAGCGCAACCCUUAUCCUUUGUUGCCAGCGGU
rnacentral:rRNA from 2 species